GGGAGAGGUACCCUCUAGCAAAGCUACAUUUCAGCCCUCAAAGAAGACCAUGAUGUUGAGCCCUUACAGGAGGUUGCUCAUGUACUGUGCAGGAAAGGACCCAUGUAGAAACUGGAGCUGCAGGCCUGUGGGGAACUAGUGGACAGACUGGGCAUGCAAGGGUAGGUAUCUGCAGCCAAUGGCUUUGGGAAGUUCCCUCACCCCUUGAACACACCAAGUAGGAGAUGUGGUUUGGUGCCAGCAACACCAGCUUUGUUCUUUUAUUAGAUGUUCAAAGAAUACAGGAGAGAAGCAGGCUCCUUCUUCCUAAUGGCAACAUCUGGCAUUUAUGUAGUCAGGCACCUUUGAUCCUUAAGGAUCCCAAAGCACUUUACAAACUGCUGUAGUGCUAAUGGCCAUAGCAACGAUAGUACAGUAAACAUGGCCAGAUAUUCCCCGUACUGGUUCCCUUCUCUUGAUUCCACAGUGUACACACAGUUUUUCCUUCUGGAAGGAAAGAUUCCAAUUUGGAUCCGAAACAUCUCUUUUGUUUGUCAUUUUUUGCUAAGUUUGUUCAGGACUGCCUUUUUUUUUUUAACAAAAAUACUUCACAAUCAUUUCUUAAUAAACAGUACUUCAUUUACAUUUUCAAUUAUCUUAUAAGCCCAUUUCUGCCCCUCAUCCUCAUCCCUCCCACUCUAGAGAAAGAUGGAAAUGUUCUUCUCUCUUGGGAAUCAAGAAUCUGCAUUGCGGAUGAGGUUGCAAAUUCAGACACAAUAAACAGAAUUAAGAAAAACCGAGCUGGCGUUUGACAGAAAUUGUAAAAUGACACUCAGAAAUGUUGCUCUUGUGGAAAUUACUGAUAUUAAAAUAUAAAUCAGUGUCUUGUGUUUCCCAUAGCACCAGGGGCUCUAUUAGGUUAUGCAGUUUGAUUGCUGAGCUGAACCUAAGAGACUUGGCAGUUCAGAGCUGAAGUUAUCACCAAGCAUUUAACCCUUCUCCUGCUGGAGAGCAGGCACCUCUGAGAAUGCCAGUUGAUAAUAUCGCCCCCAAAAGGCCUUGACUUUUUUGUUGAGCCCUUUGAAACCUGGGAGAAGAUGGAGGAGGGCUGGGUUGGUGAGAACAGAUAAAGGAAUUUGGAAAAUCUUUUCUUAAGCGUCUUGUUUCAUAGUACCAGCCCAGGGUAACUCGAGAAGCAGAGUCUAUGUUGGAGUUUAUGCUGGAGAGGGCAAAGAAAAAAUGCCCAUUAAAAACGUCUAAAUAUUACCCCAUUACAUUAUUUAUUUAAUCCCCAUAUCAACCCUGUAAGGUAGGUGUUAUUGUUCCAGUUGUUUCCAAAUGAGGAAACUGAGACUCAGAGAAGUUAACUUGAGUCAAAAUGUGAGCCCUGACUCCAUGAAGAAGUGGCUGAGGCAGGGAAAGUAUAAGAUGAACCUGGAGCAUCUUGUACCCAAAAGGAAGGAUGCGCUUAAGAAUGGGUAUUUUUGAAAGGGCCCAGGGACCAACCUGAAAGAGCUCCCAUUGGCCAAAGCUGGAAUGUUUGAGCAACAAAAUAAAUAACAGUAUUAGAUUAUAGCCCAUAUAAUAGAUAUCCAUGAGUUCAUAGUGAUGUAAACAAAACAUUAUUUAAAUGGGUGAAAAAGAGCAGUUCUUUCUUACAGAAGAAUUCCAGUGAAUAAA
rnacentral:lncRNA from 1 species